rnacentral:rRNA from 1 species
GACGAACGCUGGCGGCAGGCCUAACACAUGCAAGUCGAGCGCGCCCUUCGGGGUGAGCGGCGGACGGGUGAGUAACGCGUGGGAACGUGCCCUUUGCUUCGGAAUAGUCCCGGGAAACUGGGGGUAAUACCGGAUACGCCCUUUUGGGGAAAGAUUUAUCGGCGAAGGAUCGGCCCGCGUUGGAUUAGGUAGUUGGUGGGGUAAUGGCCUACCAAGCCGACGAUCCAUAGCUGGUUUGAGAGGAUGAUCAGCCACACUGGGACUGAGACACGGCCCAGACUCCUACGGGAGGCAGCAGUGGGGAAUCUUAGACAAUGGGGGCAACCCUGAUCUAGCCAUGCCGCGUGAGUGAUGAAGGCCUUAGGGUUGUAAAGCUCUUUCAGCUGGGAAGAUAAUGACGGUACCAGCAGAAGAAGCCCCGGCUAACUCCGUGCCAGCCGCCGCUGUAACAC